UAUCCAAAGAAAACUCAAACAAAAAAUCUGUCAUCGUUAAAACUUUACCUUUAAGAGAAGAUAUUGUAUAGUUGUGGUAGAGCGAUAGGCCUUUUUUUUGGUCUACUAUGGUAGAAAGGGAGCCAAUAUUCACGAGGGCCCCUUGAUACAUAUCAUGUUGGUAAAUAAAUUAUAAUUAAAUAAAAAAAUUAUAUUGGUGUAUGUUUAUAAAUUACUAUUGAAACAUUUAAUCUAAAAACUUAAAUAAUACAUAUCGAACAAUGCUAACACCUGCAUUAUUUUAGAAGUUAUAGGUUUUUUUUUUUUUUUUUUUUGGGUGUGAGAGACAUAUUUUAUAAUUACAUAUGAAGGUCAAUUUUAGUGGCUUCUAAUGGGUUGUUCAUUUUAUUAUCCCUUUUUUUAGUAAGUUUAUUUUAUUAUCUUGAACGUUCUUGAUA
rnacentral:lncRNA from 1 species